UAUAUGGUGAAACAUCACUCAUUCACUUUUGCACAUUCAAAAAAAUUAAUAAAGUUUUCUUUGUUGGAUUGAGAAUAUAAAAUAAAACCAUUGUUUUAGGAGACGAAUUAAAAUUUUUAAAAAUAUAAAAUUUUUUGUCUCUGUUAAAAUUACAGAAACCACUAAUAGUUUGUUCGAGGUUCUCAAUUUAUUGUAUUUAUAUUGAUAUAUUGCAAUUUACAAGAUAAAAUAAGACAUGCAUGGAAACUCGAUUUUCGCAAAUCGGGGUGAAAAUAACAUCAAAUUUUUCAAAAAUCUUUUAUUUUCUUAGCGGGAAGUUAAAAAAAUAAAAUCAUUUUUAAUUCGAAUUAAAAUGGGACGAAUUUAAUACAUAAAAAGAAAAAUAUGAUUGAAGAAUUGAUUAUUUGAGAACAACGUUUGAGUUGUACAAUCGACUCGCCAAAAAUCGAUUAUAACAAUUGAAAAUUUCAAAGAACAAACAAAUAAAUAAACAAAAUAUUCAAAGAGGUUGAAAGCUGGAACUUAAAGGUUAUAAAUGACGAAGGAAAUCUAUAUCUACUAUAUUUUUUCUCGAACGAAGAAUAAUAUUUCUGAAUUUGAAACAAAAGAUUUAUAUUUUCAUAACAAACUUAAAUGAAAGCUAUUUUUGAAAGAACCGAUGUUAAAAAAUUAUUUUGUUUUUCGAUUAAUCGAAUCUUUUACAAUCGAAACAAAAACAUCAAUUAUUCGAUUAAUCGAAUUCGAUGUUACAACACUACUCCCUAUCCUUUAGCAUUGAGUGGCAACCCGCUGGUUAUAAUCGAUAUUGAAUAACAAUAAUAAUAAAAAUAAGAUCUUAAAAAUGUUGUGGUUUUUUAUUAUUUCAAUAUUUUGGACAUUUGAAUUUGUUUCUGCUUCAAAUGGCUUUGAUUUUGGCGAUACAUUAGCACUUAUUUUAGGAUUAAUCAUUGGAAUUAUUGGAUUUUUUGCUUGUAUGGGUGCUUAUGCUAGACGCAGAAGUCGCUUUGAUUCAAUUUAAUUCAAAUUUAUGUAUUUAUUUUAUUAAUUUUAAUUUUGAAAUUAUGAUAAAACGACUGACAAAAAACAGUGAUUUGAAGAAUGUCUUCUUAUUUAUAAAAUCUAAAUAUAUUUUUUUGUACUAAUAAUAAUAAUAAUAAUAAUUAAUAUUAAAUUUUA